UACGCAGGGGGCUAGCGUUGCUCGGAAUCACUGGGCGUAAAGCGCACGUAGGCGGAUUGUUAAGUCAGGGGUGAAAUCCUGGAGCUCAACUCCAGAACUGCCUUUGAUACUGGCGAUCUUGAGUCCGGGAGAGGUGAGUGGAACUGCGAGUGUAGAGGUGAAAUUCGUAGAUAUUCGGAGGAACACCAGUGGCGAAGGCGGCUCACUGGUCCAUUACUGACGCUGAGGUGCGAAAGCGUGGGGAGCAAACAGG
rnacentral:rRNA from 1 species